rnacentral:ncRNA from 1 species
UUAGAAACUUUGAUGAGGACAACUUGAUUACUGUGCGUUUAAAGAGAGUUCAUGUUUGGUGGAAAUGAACAGCGUAAGUUUGAUAGACUACCUUUGAGUGGUGAUAAGUAGGUAACGAAAUUCAUUCGGGUGACGCCGUUAAUUGUCAUUUAAGUUGCAUCUUAUGAUGCAAAACUUGGGUGGUACCACGGUAAAGCGUCCCUUUG